CAGCCGCCGCGGGAAUACGAAGGGGGCUAGCGUUACUCGGAAUUACUGGGCGUAAAGGGCGCGUAGGCGGCACGAUUAGUCAGGCGUGAAAUUCCUGGGCUCAACCUGGGGACUGCGCUUGAUACGGUCGAGCUAGAGGAUGGAAGAGGGUCGUGGAAUUCCCAGUGUAGAGGUGAAAUUCGUAGAUAUUGGGAAGAACACCGGUGGCGAAGGCGACGACCUGGUCCAUUACUGACGCUGAGGCGCGACAGCGUGGGGAGCAAACAGGAUUAGAUACCCCAGUAGUCCCUGUCUCUUAUAC
rnacentral:rRNA from 1 species